rnacentral:rRNA from 1 species
GAUGAACGCUAGCGGCAGGCCUAACACAUGCAAGUCGAGGGGUAGCAGGAUUAAGCUUGCUUAAUUGCUGACGACCGGCGCACGGGUGCGUAACGCGUAUGCAACCUACCUUAUACUGGGGUAUAGCCCGGAGAAAUUCGGAUUAAUCCCCCAUAGUACUAAUGAAUCGCAUGGUUUAUUAGUUAAAGCAUUGCGGUAUAAGAUGGGCAUGCGUCCUAUUAGCUAGAUGGUGAGGUAACGGCUCACCAUGGCUACGAUAGGUAGGAGGCCUGAGAGGGUGGUCCCCCACACUGGUACUGAGACACGGACCAGACUCCUACGGGAGGCAGCAGUGAGGAAUAUUGGUCAAUGGGCGCAAGCCUGGACCGGCCAUGCCGCGUGCAGGAAGAAUGCCCUAUGGGUUGUAAACUGCUUUUAUUUGGGAAUAAACCUCUUUACGUGUAGAGAGCUGAAGGUACCAAAUGAAUAAGCACCGGCUAACUCCGUGCCAGCAGCCGCCGUAA